AUGGAGCAGCUGACCGGUGAGCAGGAGGAGCUGUGCCUGGAGCUCACCCUCCGCCCCAUGGUGCCGGAGCCCCGCGUCGGCUUCUUCCUCUGCGUGUACUGCGACCGCCAGUUCGUCACCUCGCAGGCGCUAGGCGGCCACCAGAACGCGCAUAAGCAUGAGCGCAGCGUGGCCAAGCGCCGCCGGCAGGCCGCUGCCGCUCGGGAGGGUGCGCCUGCUGAGGCGCCGGACGAGAGGCUGCCCUGGUACGGCGGCGGUAUCCUGUGUCCGGCCGGGAAGGCUGGUGCUGCUGUCAAGGCGCACAAGCACGGCAUCAGCUGGUCGGAGCACGGCGGCACCGUGGUCGACGUCGACUUGUCUCUUCGUCUAUGA
rnacentral:rRNA from 1 species